AUUUAUUCAUCUUGCAGCGUACAUAUAUACGAAAAUGAACAAAAUAUUACUCUAGCUGUACAUACAGAGAGACUUAUAUUGUUAAGAGAGAAAGGUAGCAUAUUAUUCGCUUCAUUUAUUUUUUUAAAAAUAAACUUAGCUGGAAAUGUGAAUCAGUUAGGAUUCGAACUUGGGUUCUCGGGUACCAACCAUCAAACUCUUUGCUACUUGCAUUAGGGACAAUCGGUGCAAAUAUGCUAUUAUUACUAUUAUUGUUAUUAU
rnacentral:lncRNA from 1 species